ACUGGCACAAUGAUGACUUAAAUUACUUUUUGCCGUUUACCCAGCUGAGUGUUUCUUUGAAGAAAUAAUUUUAAGACUGAGAUGCCAGU
ensembl:snoRNA small nucleolar RNA, C/D box 87